rnacentral:tRNA from 1 species
GCCUUCGUGGUGUAGUGGUUAGCACGCUGGGCUUGUAUUCCAGAAGUCCGGGGUUCGACUUCCAGCGAAGGCG